rnacentral:rRNA from 1 species
GACGUAGGGCGCAAGCGUUGUCCGGAUUUAUUGGGCGUAAAGAGCUCGUAGGCGGCUUGUCGCGUCGACCGUGAAACCUCACAGCUCAACUGUGAGCCUGCGGUCGAUACGGGCAGGCUAGAGUUCGGUAGGGGAGACUGGAAUUCCUGGUGUAGCGGUGAAAUGCGCAGAUAUCAGGAGGAACACCGGUGGCGAAGGCGGGUCUCUGGGCCGAUACUGACGCUGAGGAGCGAAAGCGUGGGGAGCGAACAGG